rnacentral:tRNA from 1 species
GUCCCCGUAGCUCAGUUGGAUAGAGCGGCGGAUUCCUAAUCCGCAGGCCGCGUGUUCGAAUCGCGCCGGGGACACCA